UACGUAGGGGGCAAGCGUUGUCCGGAAUCAUUGGGCGUAAAGCGCGUGUAGGCGGCCAGGUAAGUCCGUUCUGAAAGCCCGGGGCUCAACCCCGGGAGGCGGAUGGAUACUGCUUGGCUCGAGUCCGGAAGAGGCGAGUGGAAUUCCCGGUGUAGCGGUGAAAUGCGCAGAUAUCGGGAGGAACACCAAUGGCGAAGGCAGCUCGCUGGGACGGUACUGACGCUGAGGAGCGAAAGCGUGGGUAGCAAACAGG
rnacentral:rRNA from 1 species